AUGAUCUGGCCCCAGUCUGUCUUUGCAGACUCAAUUUACUUUUUAUGUACUCUUUAUUACAGCCAACUUGGACUCUUUCCCAUUCAUAGGGUCAUAGAUUUCCUAAAAAGACACUGUAGAAGCCAUCAAACCCAAACCCUUCAUGGUACAGAUCGGGAAGCUGAGAAACGCCCUGGACUACAAGUAGGUGACUUUAUGCCAGGCCCCGGCCGCAUUCCCUUCCACUCUUCUACAAGGACUUCUGACCCUGCCUAAUCUCGGCUUCCAGAGCUCCUGCCCCUUGAUGUGCAGGUGCACCAGCAGAAGCAGACAGGAAACAGUCACAGAAUACCUAUACAUGCCCUGAAUUGGAAGCAGGCUUCCCAAGACUCCCCAUGGAUAUACAUCAGAG
rnacentral:lncRNA from 1 species